UCCCUGAUAGCUCAGUUGGUAAAGAAUCUGCCUGCAAUGCAGGAAACCCGGGUUCAAUUCCUGGGUUGGGAA
rnacentral:tRNA from 1 species